ensembl:lncRNA
UAAAGGCACAGAAACUCUAGGUGAAGCCAAUACUCAGCUUUCUCUCUUUCCACUCAGUCCUCUAAGCUUUAUGCUGCCACCAUUUGGAGCCAUUAUAUAACUGAUUAUUUGCAUUAUUAUAAAAAUCAUUUGACUAAAUAACUUCCUUACCACGAUUAUAUAACAAAAUUCUACAUAAUAAGGGAGCCUUAUGAGAUUAUAGAACUCAUAGACCUCUUUCUAGUUAGUGUUUCUGUUUUUUUUUUUCUGGGUGUAUUACUAGCAAACUUUUUUGGUGACCUGUUGCUUAGCAACUGGCAUCACUAGGAAGUGUUUGCACUCUAGUAAGACAUUCUAGUUAAGGAUCUCGGUGGUCACGUACCCUUUGCCACCAGAAGGAAAUUAAUUUUUAAUCAUGCAAAGAACUUGAAAAGCUGCCACUGAGAAGGGGCCAUCUGUGGCUAUGGCAGACUUUUUUUUUUUUGGCUCCAGAAAUAGUAUUGCCCUUUAGCCCACUGUCUUCUGAGCAGUUCAACAAGAUUAGACGUGCUGCUGAAAAAUCCUGGAAGAAUGAAACUCGAUGGUCGAUACAUAUCCAACAACAUAUGGGGCCCAUUUCCGGAGAAAAAAACUGGACGAACCCCCAAGUAUCCAACCGUUCUCUGAAACAAGAGUAAACAACCCUCAUCCACACGAAUUGUUUCUAGUAAACAACAUCCAUUAUCUUCCUGGAUAUUACAACUCUAAAACACCAGCGCCUGAAAAAAAUAAAGUUUCCUGUCCAGAGAUUACGACUUUCUUUAAAGAUUCAAUGAAUAUUAAGCGACGAGUGAUGCACCAAGUUGUGACUCUUGAUAUUUGCCUUCCUGCACGUGGGAAAAAUGUUGAUCACCGAGCAAAAUCGGCAGUAUAUAAUAGCCCAAAGAGCUCCAGUGCAAGAAGGAGGGCCUUUACAAGUCAAGCAGAGGUGAUCCGGAAAUGGUCCUCCAGCUUGGAGGGUAGCCGGAGCUCAGGGCAGAAGAACCAGGAAUAACCCCCAGACCUUGUGGGCACAAGGAAGGCCAUGUACCAAGAAGAAUGUCGGUCUUAUUAGCUCCACUUUAGCUUCAGUCCAUUAUAGAAUAUCUUACCACAGGGGAUGUUUCUGGGGAUUUGUUUCAAGAGCAAAUGACAUUUCCCCCUCCCUUAGAAGUAACUACACUUUUCUCUAGGACCCCAUCUCCACUGAAGAUUGAUCUAAACUAAAAAUCAUCUUUAGUCCUGGAAGGUAAUCAUAAUAAUGACAUUUAUGUACAGGGCAUUUUAAGAUUUUCAAAGCACUUUACGUGUUAUCUUAUUUGAUCCUCUUAUAAAUAGAACUUGAACCUGAAAGGGUAUCAUGUUCUUCUACAACUUUGCUCAUGGAUGCUCAAUUUCUAUUUGGGGAACUUCCAAUCUUACUUCCUUUGUCAACCUUAGGAAAUCCAUGUGCAACCAACAAUCUUGAGGACAGACAUUGUCCCAGUCCUUCCUUCCCUGCCUCCUGCCUCGUCCUGGGAGACUCUAUUUCUUGCCGCUUUGUGGUUUUCGUCCUGACAGAUAACAGCAUAGGAUGAGAUGCUGAGUGUAGUGGAAAGAAAACCGGCCUCAGAGUCACCUCCUCUCAAUUGGAAUCAUGGCUUGGAUUCUUACUAGCUGUAUGAACAUGACCAAGCCUCAUCUUACUCUGAUCAACUGCAGAUACUAAGAGUUGCACUAACCACCUCACAAGCCUUUGUGAGGAAAAUGCUUUGUAAACCUUAAAGCACUAUAUAUGCAGAUGGAUUUUUGUUAUUAUAAAAUGUAUAGAUAGAAAGGACAUUGGCAGGCUGGGCAGGUCUGGAGGAGGUGACCAACAUGGUGAAGGAGAUGACAGAUCUGCUGAAAGAGCUAAGGAUGUUCAGCCUGCAUAAGAGAUGUGCGUGAUUCAUGAACAGAUGUCUUCAAGGAUCUGAAAGGCUCUCAUGCAGGUGACCUGGGUAGCUAGGGUAGAUAGUGGAUAUUGAACCUGGAGU